GCAAGGGAGCCUAUACAGGUGUUGCAUGGCUGUCGUCAGCUCGUGUCGUGAGAUGUUGGUUUAAGUACCCUAACGAGCGCAACCCUUACUGCCAGUUACAAGUGUCUGGCGGGACUGCCGGCCACAAGCCGGAGGAAGGCGAGGAUGACGUCAAGUCAGCAUGGCCUUUAUAUCUGGGGCUACACACACGCUACAAUGGGACGGAACAAUGGGUAGCCAAGCCGUGAGGCGGAGCCAAUCCUCAAAACGUCCCUCAGUUCAGAUUGCAGGCUGCAACCCGCCUGCAUGAAGUCGGAGUUGCUA
rnacentral:rRNA from 1 species